UACGUAUGGAGCAAGCGUUAUCCGGAUUUACUGGGUGUAAAGGGAGCGCAGGCGGUCUGGCAAGUCUGAUGUGAAAGGCCGGGGCUCAACUCCGGGACUGCAUUGGAAACUGUCAGACUGGAGUGUCGGAGAGGUAAGCGGAAUUCCUAGUGUAGCGGUGAAAUGCGUAGAUAUUAGGAGGAACACCAGUGGCGAAGGCGGCUUACUGGACGAUGGCUGACGCUGGGGCUCGAAAGCGUGGGGAGCAAACAGG
rnacentral:rRNA from 1 species